UUGAUUGCACACCAGCGUUGGGACUUCAGAAUGGAGCUCCUCUUGCCACCAGCGGAUCACAAGCACCACACGUCUUCCUUUCUUGAUUUGAUUUACAGGAGUCGGCAGUGCCCACUUCGUGCCCAGAGUAAGACCUUGAAGAACAUAGAGUGAAUGACUGCAAAGAUAAACCAAGAUGUCUUGAUGGCCUGCCACCAGCCAGGGUGGAACAGCUGCUCAGAAGUCCACACAGAGCCCAG
rnacentral:lncRNA from 1 species